CCGAUGGAGGGGGGUAACUACUGGAAACGGUAGCUAAUACCGCAUAAUGUCGCAAGACCAAAGAGGGGGACCUUAGGGCCUCUUGCCAUCGGAUGUGCCCAGAUGGGAUUAGCUAGUAGGUGGGGUAAUGGCUCACCUAGGCGACGAUCCCUAGCUGGUCUGAGAGGAUGACCAGCCACACUGGAACUGAGACACGGUCCAG
rnacentral:rRNA from 1 species